UCGGAGCUUUUAUUGUUAAAUAUGCUAGUCCUUUCAUGAUUAUGUGAUAGGUGGUGCAUGGCCGUUCUUAGUUCGUGGAGUGAUCUGUCUGCUUAAUUGCGUUUCACUAUAAGGAUCUAUAUUCUUUACAGUGUGCAGUGCAUUGACCCCUUCUUCGGAAGCGUGUGUCUUUACGCUCACACUUCAUUAGGUCCUGAAAGCAACGAACGUGACCGCAACCUCUUGUUGCCUCUGUGCUCCUACACGCUCAAUGCGCUAAACACUGGUUUUCU
rnacentral:rRNA from 1 species